rnacentral:rRNA from 1 species
CACGUAGGGCGCAAGCGUUGUCCGGAAUUAUUGGGCGUAAAGAGCUCGUAGGCGGUCUGUUGCGUCCGCUGUGAAAACCCGGGGCUUAACCCUGGGCUGGCAGUGGAUACGGACAGACUAGAGGUAGGUAGGGGAGAAUGGAAUUCCCGGUGUAGCGGUGAAAUGCGUAGAUAUCGUAAGGAAGACCAGUGGCGAAGGCGGGGUCUCUGGACAGUUCCUGACGCUGAGGCACGAAGGCCAGGGGGAGCAAACGGGG